GACGAACGCUGGCGGCGUGCUUAACACAUGCAAGUCGAACGGAAAGGCCCUGCUUUUGUGGGGUGCUCGAGUGGCUAACGGGUGAGUAACACGUGAGUAACCUGCCCUUGACUUUGGUAUAACUUCAGGAAACUGGGGCUAAUACCGGAUAUGAGCUCCUGCUGCAUGGUGGUGGUUGGAAAGUUUCGGCGGUUGGGGAUGGACUCGCGGCUUAUCAGCUUGUUGGUGGGGUAGUGGCUUACCAAGGCUUUGACGGGUAGCCGGCCUGAGAGGGUGACCGGACAAAUUGGGACUGAGAUACGGCACAGAAUCCAACGGGAGGCAGAAGUGGGGAAUAUUGCACAAUGGGCGGAAGCCUGAUGCAGCAACGCCGGGAGCGGGAUGAAGGCCUUCGGGUUGUAAACCGAUUUCGCCUGUGACGAAGCGUGAGUGACGGUAAUGGGUAAAGAAGCACCGGCUAACUACGUG
rnacentral:rRNA from 1 species